UUUCCGUAGGUGAACCUGCGGAAGGAUCAUUAUUGUAUAACCGAGGUGCGAGGGCUGUCGCUGACCCGAAAGGUCGUGCACGCCCGAGUGCCCUCACACACAUCCAUCUCACCCUAUGUGCACCACCGCGUGGGUCCCCCUUUGGCUUGUUCGGAGGGGGGCUUACGUUUUCACACAAACUUAGUAUGCAGUGUAGAAUGUAUUUUUUGUUUUUGCGAUCACGCAAUCAAUACAACUUUCAACAACGGAUCUCUUGGCUCUC
rnacentral:misc_RNA from 1 species